CCUACGGGAGGCAGCAGUGGGGAAUUUUCCGCAAUGGGCGAAAGCCUGACGGAGCAACGCCGCGUGGGUGAUGAAGUCUUUCGGGACGUAAAACCCUUUCAGCAGGGACGAACAAAAUGACGGUACCUGCAGAAGAAGCAUCGGCUAACUACGUGCCAGCAGCCGCGGUAAUACGUAGGAUGCGAGCGUUGUCCGGAUUUAUUGGGCGUAAAGCGAACGUAGGCGGUUUCUUAAGUUUGGUCUUAAAGACCGGGGCUCAACCCCGGGAGUGGACUGAAUACUGGGAGACUAGAGGAUGUUAGAGGAAAGUGGAAUUCCAAGUGUAGCGGUGAAAUGCGUAGAUAUUUGGAGGAACACCAGUGGCGAAAGCGGCUUUCUGGGACAUUUCUGACGCUGAGGUUCGAAAGCUCGGGGAGCAAACAGGAUUAGAUACCCUGGUAGUCCGAGCCGUAAACGAUGGACACUAGGUGUCGGGGGUAUCGACCCCCCCGGUGCCGUAGCUAACGCGUUAAGUGUCCCGCCUGGGGAGUACGGGUCGCAAGACUGAAACUCAAAGGAAUUGACGG
rnacentral:rRNA from 1 species